rfam:Felis catus isolate Cinnamon breed Abyssinian chromosome D1, whole genome shotgun sequence.
GCCUGGGUGGCUCAGUCGGUUGAGCUUCUGACUUUGGCUCAGGUCGUCAUCUCGUGGCUCGUGGGUUCAAGCCCCGCAUCAGGCU